GGGCAGAUAGCUCAAUUGGUAGAGCACGGCAUUGAAAAUGCCGGGGUUGCCGGUUCAAGUCCGGCUCUGCCCA
rnacentral:tRNA from 1 species